UCCCGAAGCAGUUAUGCCCCGAGAGGACC
rnacentral:sRNA from 1 species